GUUACGUGCGGUAAGGUUCAUGGCCGGUGAGGCAAUUGUAAGAACCGGAAAGAGCAUCCCAUUUCACUAUUCAUUCAACAGCAUGCAACUGACCCCGCCCUCUCCAUUACCGUGGUCUUUAUUGGUUGGUUACGAGGUUUUCGCCUUCUUCUCUCAGAUUGGCUGAAGCUGUAGUGAGCAGAGCUCUUGGGCGGAAGUGUCUCACUCUGUGCUCCAUAGUUUACCGGUCGACUCGGCUCCGCUUGGUUUGGUCCAGCUCUGCUCCUUGGCUUCACGUCGUCUCUGUUAUUUUGCAGACCUGAGUUUUUUUUCCCCAACCGAGCAAGAUGUGUAAGAAGAUCAAGGCAGGAGCAGUGGUGGAGAUGAAGGGAGAUGAAAUGACUCGCAUCAUCUGGGAACUCAUCAAGGAGAAACUCAUCUUCCCUUACGUGGACAUGGAACUGCACAGGGGAACGGUGCAGUGUCAUAACCUGUUCUCCCAGGUGGAGGUGGAGUACAACAAAUAUUCAGCAAGUUGUUCUGCAGUGCUGGGAUUUCGAGUUGGACUUGUUUGUACUUGAUUCUCCCUACGGAGAACAAAACAAAGAUGCUAAUGAGAGAGAGUUUGCAGCCAAGGCAUACAUGAAUGUAUGUGUCUGGCACAACAGUGUGUUGUUGCCUUACUGUGAACUGCUGUGGAGAGUGUGGUCUCCUUUUCUUAUCUCUGGUUGGAACUUUGUUCAGGGUUACUUCCUGUUAGCAAUCACUAAAUCUUCUGACUCUGGUUACAAGUCAAGUUUAACUGAAAAGUAAAAAAUAAUAUACAAGGACCAAAGUUUACCCAUCGUGUUGGCCCAUUAACCAUUCAACAGCUAUAGCCUCAAAGGUCAGCAGGUUGAAUCUCAAACGUGGCCUUGGAUGUUUAUAAAGGUAAUCUUCCCUGGUGUCAUUUUACCUACUUCCUUAUACUGAUUAAUUAUCUCUGAAGGGUAAAAAGCCGAGAAAAUCAAUUCUUUUUUUUUCUUUUUUUUUGCACCUGGAAGAUGUGUCCUGGGUGGAAUUUUGUACCUAUUCCUACUUUUCUUCCCCUAGGUUUUAGGGUUGGAUGUUGAUUUCCAAG